CUUAAAGACUGCACCAAGUGCGCUGAGUGGAAAAACAAGCGAUCAGGAGAGAUAAGAGAGCUGUGAAAGUGACUUAUUAAGAUGAAACUCCUGAAGGCCACUCUGUUCCAUGCUACACUGGGUGAAACUCCCGAAGGCUACUCUGCUGUAUGCUAACAUACGCUGGGUCAGACUCCUGAAGGAUGCAGUACUGUAGGCUGACAUACAGUAGGUUAAGGCUUACCAAGGUUGUUGAGUGCCAUGUUUUAAAUGAUUCUCUGGCAUGUUCUAAGUCUCUGGUGAAGAAUGUCCACCUUAAAAGAGAAGCCAUCAUAAAAGCUCUUUGUCCGUACCUGAAUGAUGAUGGAUUUCUUAUCAAGGAGUACAGGGACAUUCAUGGUGAAGACAUCUUGAGAGGCCACAGCACUGAAAUGGACAUUUAUGUCAUCAGAAGAGGGUGGAGCUCUUGGAAAAUGUGAAGACGUUGAGCUGAUAGAAACAUUAUUGUAGGAAACAUCAAAUCAGUUGCACCAGAUCUGCAGUAAUGCUUGGAGUAAUCUAUGCCCUGAAUAUGGCUCAUCACAAUGGGUGGAAAUGCUGCUAUGAAUUUGUACAUUCCUCAUCCCAAAGGAUGGUGCAAAGCUCUCCCCUAAUAUUCUUGGUUUGGAGAACAAAAUCUUGGGAUAGUCAAAGUAGGCUGUCCAUUCUGGAAAUAUAUGGAACUUUUCACACUAGCUUGACUGAAAAGCAGUGGACUUUUGAACAACGCUUAAGUCACAUGAAACAAGAAUGGCUGUAUUUGUCAACAUCUCUUUUAAAAUUCAGUGACAUUUCAAUGAUUUUCUAUACAACAUGUCAAGA